UGCUAGUUGGGAUACGAGAUGCCCGGAGUGUGGGGGUGCCGGAUGCCCGGAGGUGUGUGCCGAAGGUUCCUCGUGAUGCCAAGUUGGAUACGAGCGAUAAAUUGUGGGAUGAAAACACUGGUCCCUAGAAAGAUAAAAAUUGAGACUGUAUCAUAUGGCAUGGAUAUAUGCAUGAAUGCUUGAUGAUGAGUGCAUGGUGGUAUAUGCACAUAUGGCAUGGGUAUAUGCAUGAAUGCUUGAUGAUGAGUGCAUGGUGGUAUAUGCACAUAUGGCAUGGUGAUAUACGUAUGGCUGUAAGGUAAGGUAUGCUUGAAUGCAUGAAUGAUAUGUGUUUUAUUCUUGAUUGUUCUGUUUGACGCAUUGAGUAGUGUGGUGGAUCUUUACUGCUGAGUGGUUGUACUCACCCCUUUUGGGGAUUAACAUUUCAGAUUAGAAAGAUGCCGUUGCGAUCAGUUGCACGCGGUACUUACUAUGGCAUACCUACUGAUGUGGAUGUGGAGUGUAC
rnacentral:lncRNA from 1 species